UACUAGGCAACCUGAUGGAGAC
rnacentral:piRNA from 1 species